rfam:Proteus penneri ATCC 35198 genomic scaffold Scfld2, whole genome shotgun sequence.
UUCUUGUGCUUGUUGAGGGCAGAUAAAGUGAAUAUGUGUAUCAACGCCACCAGCGGUAACUAUUUUACCUUCGCCCGCAACCACUUCUGUGGCCGGCCCUACAACAAUAUCCACAUUAGGUUGUACAUCCGGAUUACCCGCUUUACCAAUCCCCACAAUACGACCAUCUUUAAUACCGAUAUCGGCUUUUACGAUCCCCCAAUGGUCUAAAAUAAUGGCGUUAGUGAUAAGUACAUCGACACAUUCAGCAUUAACGACUUGGCUCUGCCCCAUACCAUCGCGAA